rnacentral:rRNA from 1 species
ACUCCUACGGGAGGCAGCAGUGGGGAAUAUUGCACAAUGGGGGAAACCCUGAUGCAGCCAUGCCGCGUGUGUGAAGAAGGCCUUCGGGUUGUAAAGCACUUUCAGUAGGGAGGAAGGUAGUGUAGUUAACACCUGCAUUAUUUGUACGUUACCUACAGAAGAAGCACCGGCUAACUCCGUGCCAGCAGCCGCGGUAAUACGGAGGGUGCGAGCGUUAAUCGGAAUUACUGGGCGUAAAGCGCAUGCAGGCGGCCUGUUAAGUCAGAUGUGAAACGCCCGGGGCUUAACCUCGGAAUUGCAUUUGAAACUGGCAGGCUAGAGUCUUGUAGAGGGGGUUAGAAUUUCGAGGUGUAGCGGUGAAAUGCGUAGAGAUCU